rnacentral:rRNA from 1 species
AUUGAACGCUGGCGGCAUGCUUUACACAUACAAGUCGAACGGUAACAGGCCGCAAGGUGCUGACGAGUGGCGAACGGGUGAGUAAUGCAUCGGAACGUGCCCAGUCGUGGGGGAUAACUGCUCGAAAGAGCAGCUAAUACCGCAUACGAUCUAUGGAUGAAAGCGGGGGACCGUAAGGCCUCGCGCGAUUGGAGCGGCCGAUGUCAGAUUAGGUAGUUGGUGGGGUAAAGGCUCACCGAGCCAACGAUCUGUAGCUGGUCUGAGAGGACGACCAGCCACACUGGGACUGAGACACGGCCCAGACUCCUACGGGAGGCAGCAGUGGGGAAUUUUGGACAAUGGGGGCAACCCUGAUCCAGCAAUGCCGCGUGCAGGAAGAAGGCCUUCGGGUUGUAAACUGCUUUUGUACGGAACGAAACGGUCUGGGUUAAUACCCUGGGCUAAUGACGGUACCGUAAGAAUAAGCACCGGCUAACUACGUGCCAGCAGCCGCCGCCGUAA